rnacentral:ncRNA from 1 species
GCCAUGGGACGACUCAUGGCGUUGCGAGUUCCCGCGGGACGACCCGC